GACGAACGCUGGCGGCGUGCUUAACACAUGCAAGUCGAACGGAAAGGCCCUGCUUUUGUGGGGUGCUCGAGUGGCGAACGGGUGAGUAACACGUGAGUAACCUGCCCUUGACUUUGGGAUAACUUCAGGAAACUGGGGCUAAUACCGGAUAGGAGCUCCUGCUGCAUGGUGGGGGUUGGAAAGUUUCGGCGGUUGGGGAUGGACUCGCGGCUUAUCAGCUUGUUGGUGAGGUAGUGGCUUACCAAGGCUUUGACGGGUAGCCGGCCUGAGAGGGUGACCGGCCACAAUGGGACUGAGAUACGGCCCAGACUCCUACGGGAGGCAGCAGUGGGGAAUAUUGCACAAUGGGCGGAAGCCUGAUGCAGCAACGCCGCGUGCGGGAUGACGGCCUUCGGGUUGUAAACCGCUUUCGCCUGUGACGAAGCGUGAGUGACGGUAAUGGGUAAAGAAGCACCGGCUAACUACGUG
rnacentral:rRNA from 1 species